UGGGGAAUUUUGCGCAAUGGGGGAAACCCUGACGCAGCAACGCCGCGUGGAGGAUGAAGUCCUUCGGGACGUAAACUCCUUUCGAUCGGGACGAUUAUGACGGUACCGGAAGAAGAAGCCCCGGCUAACUUCGUGCCAGCAGCCGCGGUAAUACGAGGGGGGCGAGCGUUGUUCGGAAUUAUUGGGCGUAAAGGGUGCGUAGGCGGUUUGGUAAGUCUGAUGUGAAAUCUAUGGGCUCAACUCAUAGUCUGCAUCGGAAACUGCCGGGCUUGAGUAUGGGAGAGGUGAGUGGAAUUCCUGGUGUAGCGGUGAAAUGCGUAGAUAUCAGGAGGAACACCUGUGGCGAAAGCGGCUCACUGGUCCGGUACUGACGCUGAGGCGCGAAAGCGUGGGGAGCAAAC
rnacentral:rRNA from 1 species